ACUUCAUGUCCUCCACCAGUGACUUUGUUGCUUUCCUAUACAGAAGAAAUCCACUUGACAGCUGUGUUUACGAGAGAUUUCGUCACUUUUCUAAUUUGAAUUAUCAUCAUUAUCAUUUUUAACUUACACUGAAUUAUUAUUAUUUUUCAGUGAGGUUUUUUCUUUCAAAUUAACUUUAAUCAUGUCGAAGAUGAGUGAAUUGCGAGAUAGCUUGAGAGAACAAGAGACAUACUAUGGAAUGGCGUGUGCGCAACUUACAUUGUUAAACGAGAGAUUUGAACAAUUAGCUAAACGAUAUGACAUUGCAGAUAAACUAGGACAGAAGUCGUUUCGGUAUUCAUUGAAGUUGAGGAUGUCUGUCCUGGAAGGUGUUCGAAAGAUGUUUUUCAGAUAUGCAACGUUCAAAGCAUGCCACGUCAACGAAAUACGACAUGAAAUCCUAAUCGAACACGCCAUCUCCGAAAACAACGGGGACCAUACCUAUUCAUAUCCACUUCUUGGCCGCUAUGCUAACCCGAUUUUCCACCUAAGCAGCGCAGAUAGCGAUGAAACUGACGACGAAGUCGAAGAGGAUGAGGAUUCUUACGAUACGGAAACAGAGAGUGGCGAUGAAACUGAUGACGAAGUCGAUGAGAUUGAGGAUUAUUACGAUACGGAUAUAGAUAGUGACGAGACGUUGUGAAACAACAAAACGUUCCAAGAAGACUUUUCAUGACACAGACGAUGAAGUACAACGUUGACCUCUAGGGAAGUAUACGCACCCGUAUUCCGCCAAUGUUACAUAACUAAAGUUACAAAUCAGUAGUGCGUUUUAUGAAGAAAUGCUAUGUAAACAGUGUAGGGAUAACAUGCUGAAGAUUUAUACGUACCUUUGUAAGACUUCUCCAUUGCUUAUUUUGCAGUUUCAGAGUACUUCAUGUUAAAGUAGACGGAAGACUUGGAUGAUAAAUACGAGAGAGACCAGGAAGCUACUGAAAGAGGAAGUGGAAAGGAGAAAGAGAAGGGGGAAGUUUGUUUAGAAAUUAAUAUAAAUAAAAUUUUAAUACCUUUU